rnacentral:misc_RNA from 1 species
GGUCCUUACCUUGCAAUUUUGUAUG